UAUAAUUUUUGAUUAUUUGUCUUAUUUAAAUUUUUUACGAUUGAUAUUUUUGUUUUUAUUAGAUGAUAUAUCAUAAAUAGUACUUUACAUGUGGCUAAUUUUUUUUCUAAUUUCUAAAAAAUUUCAAAUAAGACGGAUGGUUAAAUGUUGGACACGGAACC
rnacentral:pre_miRNA from 1 species